rnacentral:rRNA from 1 species
UACGGAGGAUCCAAGCGUUAUCCGGAAUUACUGGGCGUAAAGAGUUGCGUAGGUGGCAUAGUAAGCGAGUAGUGAAAGCGUGUGGCUCAACCAUACAUCCAUUACUUGAACUGCUAAGCUAGAGGAUGAGAGAGGUUAUUGGAAUUCCCAGUGUAGGAGUGAAAUCCGUAGAUAUUGGGAGGAACACCGAUGGCGUAGGCAGAUAACUGGCUCAUUCCUGACACUAAGGCACGAAAGCGUGGGGAGCAAACGGG